UUAGGUUUUGGGACUAGGGAAAGGUUUAAGGGUUUUGGCGUUAGGGUUAAAAUCACUGUCCAAAACCUUUGUAGGAACUCUUUUCCAACCUUUUGGAGUUAGUUAGACCAAAAAAAAAAGAAAAAUGAAAAAAAAAUAUUUGGGGUGUUCAGGCUUCCUAAAAGUAAUACCCGGGUAUUAGGUUAUGGGGCUAUGGUAAGGUUUAACGUUUUGGCGUUAGGUUUAAAAUCACUGUCCAAAACCUUUGUAGGAACUCUUUAACAACCUUUUGGAUUUAGUUAGACCAAAAAAAAAAGAAAAAUGAAAAAAAAAUAUAUUUGGGGUGUUCAGGCUUCCUAAAAGUAAUACCUGGGUAUUAGGUUAUGGGGCUAUGGUAAGGUUUAAGGUUUUUGGCGUUAGGGUUAAAAUCACUGUCCAAAACCUUUGUAGGAACUCUUUAACAACCUUUUGGAGUUGGUUACACCAAAAAAAAUGUAAAAUGAAAAAAAAAAAUAUUUGGGGUGUUCGGACUUCCUGAAUGUAAUACCCGGGUAUUAGAUUUUGAGGCUAGGGUAAGGUUUAAGUUUUUUGGCAUUAGGGUUAAAAUCACUGUCCAAAACCUUUGUAGGAACUCUUUUCCAACCUUUUGGAGUUGGUUACACCAACAAAAAUGUAAAAUGAAGAAAAAAAUAUUUGGGGUGUUCAGGCUUCCUGAAGGUAAUACCCGGGUAUUAGAUUUCAAGGCUAGGGUAAGGUUUAAGGUUUUUUGUGUUAGGGUUAAAAUCACUGUCCAAAACCUUUGUAGGAACUCUUUUCCAACCUUUUGGAGUUAGUUAGACCAAAAAAAAAAAAAGAAAAAUGAAAAAAAAAUAUUUGGGGUGUUCAGGCUUCCUAAAAGUAAUACCCGGGUAUUAGGUUAUGGGGCUAGGGUAAGGUUUAAGGUUUUUGGCGUUAGGGUUGAAAUCACUGUCCAAAACCUUUGUAGGAACUCUUUUUCAACCUUUUGGAGUUAGUUAGACCAAAAAAAGAAUGAAAAAUGAAAAAAAAAAUAUUUGGGGUUUACGGGCUUCCUGAAUGUAAUACCCGGGUAUUAGAUUUUAAGGCCAGGGUAAGGUUUAAGUUUUUUGGCGUUAGGGUUAAAAUCACUGUCCAAAACCUUUGUAGGAACUCUUUUCCAACCUUUUGGAGUUAGUUAGACCAAAAAAAAAAGAAAAAUGAAAAAAAAAUAUUUGGGGUGUUCAGGCUUCCUAAAAGUAAUACCUGGGUAUUAGGUUAUGGGGCUAUGGUAAGGUUUAAGGUUUUUGGCAUUAGGGUUAAAAUCACUGUCCAAAACCUUUGUAGGAACUCUUUAACAACCUUUUGGAGUUGGUUAGACCAAAAAAAAAAGAAAAAUGAAAAAAAAUAUAUGGGGUGUUCAGGCUUCCUAAAAGUAAUACCCGGGUAUUAGGUUAUGGGGCUAUGGUAAGGUUUAAGGUUUUUGGCGUUAGGGUUAAAAUCACUGUCCAAAACCUUUGUAGGAACUCUUUUCCAACCUUUUGGAGUUAGUUAGACCAAAAAAAAAUGAAAAAUUAAAAAACAAUAUUUGGGGUUUUCGGGGUUCCUGAAUGUAAUACCCGGGUAUUAGAUUUUGAGGCUAGGGUAAGGUUUAAGUUUUUUGGCAUUAGGGUUAAAAUCACUGUCCAAAACCUUUGUAGGAACUCUUUUCCAACCUUUUGGAGUUGGUUACACCAACAAAAAUGUAAAAUGAAAAAAAAAAUAUUUGGGGUUUACGGGCUUCCUGAAUGUAAUACCCAGGUAUUAGAUUUCAAGGCUAGGGUAAGGUUUAAGGUUUUUGGCGUUAGGGUUAAAAUCACUGUCCAAAACCUUUGUAGGAACUCUUUUCCAACCUUUUGGAGUUAGUUAGAUCAAAAAAUAUGAAAAAAGAAAAAAAUAUUAUUGGGGGUUUUCGGGCUCCCUGAAAGUAAUACCCGUGUAUUAGGUUUUGGGACUAGGGAAAGGUUUAAGGGUUUUGGCGUUAGGGUUAAAAUCACUGUCCAAAACCUUUGUAGGAACUCUUUUCAGACCUUUUGGAGUUAGUUAGACCAAAAAAAAAAGAAAAAUGAAAAAAAAAUAUUUGGGGUGUUCAGGCUUCCUAAAAGUAAUACCCGGGUAUUAGGUUAUGGGGCUAUGGUAAGGUUUAACGUUUUGGCGUUAGGUUUAAAAUCACUGUCCAAAACCUUUGUAGGAACUCUUUAACAACCUUUUGGAUUUAGUUAGACCAAAAAAAAAGAAAAAUGAAAAAAAAAUAUAUGGGGUGUUCAGGCUUCCUAAAAGUAAUACCUGGGUAUUAGGUUAUGGGGCUAUGGUAAGGUUUAAGGUUUUUGGCGUUAGGGUUAAAAUCACUGUCCAAAACCUUUGUAGGAACUCUUUUCCAACCUUUUGGAGUUGGUUACACCAAAAAAAAUGUAAAAUGAAAAAAAAAAUAUUUGGGGUGUUCGGACUUCCUGAAUGUAAUACCCGGGUAUUAGAUUUUGAGGCUAGGGUAAGGUUUAAGUUUUUUGGCAUUAGGGUUAAAAUCACUGUCCAAAACCUUUGUAGGAACUCUUUUCCAACCUUUUGGAGUUGGUUACACCAACAAAAAUGUAAAAUGAAGAAAAAAAUAUUUGGGGUGUUCAGGCUUCCUGAAGGUAUUACCCGGGUAUUAGAUUUCAAGGCUAGGGUAAGGUUUAAGGUUUUUUGUGUUAGGGUUAAAAUCACUGUCCAAAACCUUUGUAGGAACUCUUUUCCAACCUUUUGGAGUUAGUUAGACCAAAAAAAAAAAAAAAAAAUGAAAAAAAAAUAUUUGGGGUGUUAAGGCUUCCUAAAAGUAAUACCCGGGUAUUAGGUUAUGGGGCUAGGGUAAGGUUUAAGGUUUUUGGCAUUAGGGUUGAAAUCACUGUCCAAAACCUUUGUAGGAACUCUUUUUCAACCUUUUGGAGUUAGUUAGACCAAAAAAAGAAUGAAAAAUGAAAAAAAAAAUAUUUGGGGUUUACGGGCUUCCUGAAUGUAAUACCCGUGUAUUAGGUUUUGGGACUAGGGAAAGGUUUAAGGGUUUUGGCGUUAGGGUUAAAAUCACUGUCCAAAACCUUUGUAGGAACUCUUUUCCAACCUUUUGGAGUUAGUUAGACCAAAAAAAAAAGAAAAAUGAAAAAAAAAUAUUUGGGGUGUUCAGGCUUCCUAAAAGUAAUACCCGGGUAUUAGGUUAUGGGGCUAUGGUAAGGUUUAACGUUUUGGCGUUAGGUUUAAAAUCACUGUCCAAAACCUUUGUAGGAACUCUUUUCCAACCUUUUGGAUUUAGUUAGACCAAAAAAUAAAGAAAAAUGAAAAAAAAAAUAUAUGGGGUGUUCAGGCUUCCUAAAAGUAAUACCUGGGUAUUAGGUUAUGGGGCUAUGGCAAGGUUUAACGUUUUGGGCGUUAGGGUUAAAAUCACUGUCCAAAACCUUUGUAGGAACUCUUUAACAACCUUUUGGAUUUAGUUAGACCAAAAAAAAAUGAAAAAUUAAAAAAAAUAUAUUUGGGGUGUUCAGGCUUCCUAAAAGUAAUACCCGGGUAUUAGGUUAUGGGGCUAUGGUAAGGUUUAAGGUUUUUGGCGUUAGGGUUAAAAUCACUGUCCAAAACCUUUGUAGGAACUCUUUUUCAACCUUUUGGAGUUAGUUAGACAAAAAAAAAAAUUAAAAAUGAAAAAAAAUAUAUUUGGGGUUUACGGGCUUCCUGAAUGUAAUACCCGGGUAUUAGAUUUUAAGGCCAGGGUAAGGUUUAAGUUUUUUGGCGUUAGGGUUAAAAUCACUGUCCAAAACCUUUGUAGGAACUCUUUUCCAACCUUUUGGAGUUAGUUAGACCAAAAAAUAUGAAAAAAGAAAAAAAUAUUAUUGGGGGUUUUCGGGCUCCCUGAAAGUAAUACCCGUGUAUUAGGUUUUGGGACUAGGGAAAGGUUUAAGGGUUUUGGCGUUAGGGUUAAAAUCACUGUCCAAAACCUUUGUAGGAACUCUUUUCCAACCUUUUGGAGUUAGUUAGACCAAAAAAAAAAGAAAAAUGAAAAAAAAAUAUUUGGGGUGUUCAGGCUUCCUAAAAGUAAUACCUGGGUAUUAGGUUAUGGGGCUAUGGUAAGGUUUAAGGUUUUUGGCGUUAGGGUUAAAAUCACUGUCCAAAACCUUUGUAGGAACUCUUUUCCAACCUUUUGGAGUUGGUUACACCAACAAAAAUGUAAAAUGAAGAAAAAAAUAUUUGGGGUGUUCAGGCUUCCUGAAGGUAAUACCCGGGUAUUAGAUUUCAAGGCUAGGGUAAGGUUUAAGGUUUUUGGCGUUAGGGUAAAAAUCACUGUCCAAAACCUUUGUAGGAACUCUUUUCCAACCUUUUGGAGUUAGUUAGACCAAAAAAUAUGAAAAAAGAAAAAAAUAUUAUUGGGGGUUUUCGGGCUCCCUGAAAGUAAUACCCGUGUAUUAGGUUUUGGGACUAGGGAAAGGUUUAAGGUUUUUGGCGUUAGGGUUAAAAUCACUGUCCAAAACCUUUGUAGGAACUCUUUUCCAACCUUUUGGAGUUAGUUAGACCAAAAAAAAAAGAAAAAUGAAAAAAAAAUAUAUUUGGGGUGUUCAGGCUUCCUAAAAGUAAUACCCGGGUAUUAGGUUAUGGGGCUAUGGUAAGGUUUAACGUUUUGGCGUUAGGUUUAAAAUCACUGUCCAAAACCUUUGUAGGAACUCUUUAACAACCUUUUGGAUUUAGUUAGACCAAAAAAAAAUGAAAAAUUAAAAAAAAUAUAUUUGGGGUGUUCAGGCUUCCUAAAAGUAAUACCCGGGUAUUAGGUUAUGGGGCUAUGGUAAGGUUUAAGGUUUUUGGCGUUAGGGUUAAAAUCACUGUCCAAAACCUUUGUAGGAACACUUUUCCAACCUUUUGGAAUUAGAUAAACCAAAAAAAAAAUGAAAAAUGAAAAAAUAUAUAUUUGGGGUGUUCGGGCUCCCUGAAAGUAAUACCCGUGUAUUAGGUUUUGGGACUAGGGAAAGGUUUAAGGUUUUUGGCGUUAGGGUUAAAAUCACUGUCCAAAACCUUUGUAGGAACUCUUUUCCAACCUUUUGGAGUUAGUUAGACCAAAAAAAAAUGAAAAAUGAAAAAAAAAAUAUUUGGGGUGUUCAGGCUUCCUAAAAGUAAUACCCGGGUAUUAGGUUAUGGGGCUAUGGUAAGGUUUAAGUUUUUUGGCGUUAGGGUUAAAAUCACUGUCCAAAACCUUUGUAGGAACUCUUUUCCAACCUUUUGGAGUUAGUUAGACCAAAAAAUAUGAAAAAAGAAAAAAAUAUUUUUGGGGGUUUUCGGGCUCCCUGAAAGAAAUACCCGGGUAUUAGGUUUUGGGGCUAUGGUAAGGUUUAAGUUUUUUGGCGUUAGGGUUAAAAUCACUGUCCAAAACCUUUGUAGGAACUCUUUUCCAACCUUUUGGAGUUAGACCAAAAAAUAUGAAAAAAGAAAAAAAUAUUAUUGGGGGUUUUCGGGCUCCCUGAAAGUAAUACCCGGGUAUUAGGUUUUGGGGCUAUGGUAAGGUUUAAGUUUUUUGGCAUUAGGGUUAAAAUCACUGUCCAAAACCUUUGUAGGAACUCUUUUCCAACCUUUUUUGAGUUAGUUAGACCAAAAAAAAAUGAAAAAUGAAAAAACAAUAUUUGGGGUUUUCGGGGUUCCUGAAUGUAAUACCCGGGUAUUAGAUUUUAAGGCUAGGGUAAGGUUUAAGUUUUUUGGCAUUAGGGUUUAAAUCACUGUCCAAAACCUUUGUAGGAACUCUUUUCCAACCUUUUGGAGUUGGUUACACCAACAAAAAUGUAAAAUGAAGAAAAAAAUAUUUGGGGUGUUCAGGCUUCCUGAAGGUAAUACCCGGGUAUUAGAUUUUAAGGCUAGGGUAAGGUUUAAGGUUUUUGGCGUUAGGGUUAAAAUCACUGUCCAAAACCUUUGUAGGAACUCUUUUCCAACCUUUUGGAGUUAGUUAGACCAAAAAAAAAAGAAAAAUGAAAAAAAAAUAUUUGGGGUGUUCAGGCUUCCUAAAAGUAAUACCCGGGUAUUAGGUUAUGGGGCUAUGGUAAGGUUUAACGUUUUGGCGUUAGGUUUAAAAUCACUGUCCAAAACCUUUGUAGGAACUCUUUAACAACCUUUUGGAUUUAGUUAGACCAAAAAAAAAAAGAAAAAUGAAAAAAAAAUAUAUGGGGUGUUCAGGCUUCCUAAAAGUAAUACCUGGGUAUUAGGUUAUGGGGCUAUGGUAAGGUUUAAGGUUUUUGGCGUUAGGGUUAAAAUCACUGUCCAAAACCUUUGUAGGAACUCUUUUCCAACCUUUUGGAGUUGGUUACACCAAAAAAAAUUAAAAAUGAAAAAAAAAAAUAUUUGGGGUGUUCGGACUUCCUGAAUGUAAUACCCGGGUAUUAGAUUUUGAGGCUAGGGUAAGGUUUAAGGUUUUUGGUGUUAGGGUUAAAAUCACUGUCCAAAACCUUUGUAGGAACUCUUUUCCAACCUUUUGGAGUUAGUUAGACCAAAAAAUAUGAAAAAAGAAAAAAAUUUUAUUGGGGGUUUUUUGGCUCCCUGAAAGUAAUACCCGUGUAUUAGGUUUUGGGACUAGGGAAAGGUUUAAGGUUUUUGGCGUUAGGGUUAAAAUCACUGUCCAAAACCUUUGUAGGAACUCUUUUCCAACCUUUUGGAGUUAGUUAGACCAAAAAAAAAAAAGAAAAAUGAAAAAAAAAUAUUUGGGGUGUUCAGGCUUCCUAAAAGUAAUACCCGGGUAUUAGGUUAUGGGGCUAGGGUAAGGUUUAAGGUUUUUGGCGUUAGGGUUGAAAUCACUGUCCAAAACCUUUGUAGGAACUCUUGUUCAACCUUUUGGAGUUAGUUAGACCAAAAAAAGAAUGAAAAAUGAAAAAAAAAAUAUUUGGGGUUUACGGGCUUCCUGAAUGUAAUACCCGGGUAUUAGAUUUUAAGGCCAGGGUAAGGUUUAAGUUUUUUGGCGUUAGGGUUAAAAUCACUGUCCAAAACCUUUGUAGGAACUCUUUUCCAACCUUUUGGAGUUAGUUAGACCAAAAAAAAAAAGAAAAAUGAAAAAAAAAUAUUUGGGGUGUUCAGGCUUCCUAAAAGUAAUACCUGGGUAUUAGGUUAUGGGGCUAUGGUAAGGUUUAAGGUUUUUGGCAUUAGGGUUAAAAUCACUGUCCAAAACCUUUGUAGGAACUCUUUAACAACCUUUUGGAGUUGGUUAGACCAAAAAAAAAAAAAAAAAUGAAAAAAAUAUAUUUGGGGUGUUCAGGCUUCCUAAAAGUAAUACCCGGGUAUUAGGUUAUGGGGCUAUGGUAAGGUUUAAGGUUUUUGGCGUUAGGGUUAAAAUCACUGUCCAAAACCUUUGUAGGAACUCUUUUCCAACCUUUUGGAGUUAGUUAGACCAAAAAAAAAUGAAAAAUUAAAAAACAAUAUUUGGGGUUUUCGGGGUUCCUGAAUGUAAUACCCGGGUAUUAGAUUUUGAGGCUAGGGUAAGGUUUAAGUUUUUUGGCAUUAGGGUUAAAAUCACUGUCCAAAACCUUUGUAGGAACUCUUUUCCAACCUUUUGGAGUUGGUUACACCAACAAAAAUGUAAAAUGAAAAAAAAUAUUUGGGGUUUACGGGCUUCCUGAAUGUAAUACCCAGGUAUUAGAUUUUAAGGCUAGGGUAAGGUUUAAGGUUUUUGGCGUUAGGGUUAAAAUCACUGUCCAAAACCUUUGUAGGAACUCUUUUCCAACCUUUUGGAGUUAGUUAGACCAAAAAAUAUGAAAAAAGAAAAAAAUAUUAUUGGGGGUUUUCGGGCUCCCUGAAAGUAAUACCCGUGUAUUAGGUUUUGGGACUAGGGAAAGGUUUAAGGGUUUUGGCGUUAGGGUUAAAAUCACUGUCCAAAACCUUUGUAGGAACUCUUUUCCAACCUUUUGGAGUUAGUUAGACCAAAAAAAAAAAAAAAUGAAAAAAAAAAAUUUGGGGUGUUCAGGCUUCCUAAAAGUAAUACCCGGGUAUUAGGUUAUGGGGCUAUGGUAAGGUUUAACGUUUUGGCGUUAGGUUUAAAAUCACUGUCCAAAACCUUUGUAGGAACUCUUUUCCAACCUUUUGGAGUUAGUUAGACAAAAAAAAAAAAUUAAAAAUGAAAAAAAAUAUAUUUGGGGUGUUCAGGCUUCCUGAAGGUAAUACCCGGGUAUUAGAUUUUAAGGCCAGGGAAAGGUUUAAGGUUUUUGGUGUUAGGGUUAAAAUCACUGUCCAAAACCUUUGUAGGAACUCUUUUCCAACCUUUUGGAGUUAGUUAGACCAAAAAAUAUGAAAAAAGAAAAAAAUAUUAUUUGGGGUGUUCGGGCUCCCUGAAAGUAAUACCCGUGUAUUAGGUUUUGGGACUAGGGAAAGGUUUAAGGGUUUUGGCGUUAGGGUUAAAAUCACUGUCCAAAACCUUUGUAGGAACUCUUUUCCAACCUUUUGGAGUUAGUUAGACCAAAAAAAAAAGAAAAAUGAAAAAAAAAUAUUUGGGGUGUUCAGGCUUCCUAAAAGUAAUACCCGGGUAUUAGGUUAUGGGGCUAUGGUAAGGUUUAACGUUUUGGCGUUAGGUUUAAAAUCACUGUCCAAAACCUUUGUAGGAACUCUUUAACAACCUUUUGGAUUUAGUUAGACCAAAAAAAAAAGAAAAAUGAAAAAAAAAUAUAUUUGGGGUGUUCAGGCUUCCUAAAAGUAAUACCUGGGUAUUAGGUUAUGGGGCUAUGGUAAGGUUUAAGGUUUUUGGCGUUAGGGUUAAAAUCACUGUCCAAAACCUUUGUAGGAACUCUUUUCCAACCUUUUGGAGUUGGUUACACCAAAAAAAAUGUAAAAUGAAAAAAAAAAAUAUUUGGGGUGUUCGGACUUCCUGAAUGUAAUACCCGGGUAUUAGAUUUUGAGGCUAGGGUAAGGUUUAAGGUUUUUGGUGUUAGGGUUAAAAUCACUGUCCAAAACCUUUGUAGGAACUCUUUAACAACCUUUUGGAUUUAGUUAGACCAAAAAAAAAAGAAAAAUUAAAAAAAAUAUAUUUGGGGUGUUCAGGCUUCCUAAAAGUAAUACCCGGGUAUUAGGUUAUGGGGCUAUGGUAAGGUUUAACGUUUUGGCGUUAGGUUUAAAAUCACUGUCCAAAACCUUUGUAGGAACUCUUUUCCAACCUUUUGGAUUUAGUUAGACCAAAAAAUAAAGAAAAAUAAAAAAAAAAAAAUAUAUGGGGUGUUCAGGCUUCCUAAAAGUAAUACCUGGGUAUUAGGUUAUGGGGCUAUGGUAAGGUUUAAGGUUUUGGCGUUAGGGUUAAAAUCACUGUCCAAAACCU